rnacentral:rRNA from 1 species
GAGAGAUCUUCUUGUUUUAAGACCUAGCAAUAGGUAUGCUUAGGGAGGAGCUUGCGUCACAUUAGUUAGUUGGUGGGGUAAAGGCCUACCAAGACUAUGAUGUGUAGCCGGGCUGAGAGGUUGAACGGCCACAUUGGGACUGAGACACGGCCCAAACUCCUACGGGAGGCAGCAGUAGGGAAUUUUCGGCAAUGGAGGAAACUCUGACCGAGCAACGCCCCGUGAACGAUGAAGUAUUUCGGUACGUAAAGUUCUUUUAUUAGGGAAGAAUAAAUGAUGGAAAAAUCAUUCUGACGGUACCUAAUGAAUAAGCCCCGGCUAACUAUGUGCCAGCAGCCGCGGUAAUACAUAGGGGGCAAGCGUUAUCCGGAAUUAUUGGGCGUAAAGGGUGCGUAGGCGGUUAAAUAAGUUUAUGGUCUAAGUGCAAUGCUCAACAUUGUGAUGCUAUAAAAACUGUUUAGCUAGAGUAAGAUAGAGGCAAGUGGAAUUCCAUGUGUAGUGGUAAAAUGCGUAAAUAUAUGGAGGAACACCAGUAGCGAAGGCGGCUUGCUGGGUCUUUACUGACGCUGAGGCACGAAAGCGUGGGGAGCAAACAGGAUUAGAUACCCUGGUAGUCCACGCCGUAAACGAUGAGUACUAAACGUUGGGUAAAACCAGUGUUGAAGUUAACACAUUAAGUACUCCGCCUGAGUAGUACGUACGCAAGUAUGAAACUUAAAGGAAUUGACGGGACUCCGCACAAGCGGUGGAUCAUGUUGUUUAAUUCGAAGGUACCCGAAAAACCUCACCAGGUCUUGACAUGCUUCUGCAAAGCUGUAGAAACACAGUGGAGGUUAUCAGUUGCACAGGUGGGGCAUGGUUGUCGUCACCUCCGGUCCUGAGAUGUUGGGUUAAGUCCCGCAACGAGCGCAACCCUUAUUGUUAGUUACCAGCACGUAAUGGUGGGGACUUUAGCAAGACUGCCAGUGAUAAAUUGGAGGAAGGUGGGGACGACGUCAAAUCAUCAUGCCCCUUAUGACCUGGGCUACAAACGUGAUACAAUGGCUGUUACAAAGGGUAGCUGAAGCGCAAGUUUUUGGCGAAUCUCAAAAAAACAGUCUCAGUUCGGAUUGAAGUCUGCAACUCGACUUCAUGAAGUUGGAAUCGCUAGUAAUCGCGAAUCAGCAGUCGCGGAUCGCC